rnacentral:lncRNA from 10 species
AAAAAUGCCAGAUAGUUUAAGGAAAAGAGCUGUCUGAAGUAAUGGCCCAGCCCACAUGUUUACAGCGUGUUGGCAGUGGUUCUCCAACUUCAGCAUGCAUCCAAGAAUCACCUGGAGGCCUUGUUAAAACAGCGCUGGCCCCAUCCCAGAGUUUCCGAUUGAGUGGGCCUGUGGCAGGGUCUUAGAUUUUUGCAUUCAUACCUUCCCAGGUGAUGAUGUUGCCGGUUCGGGGUCUACACUUUGAGAACCACUGCGCUAAAGGAAAGAAACACAAGUAGCUUGGGGAUGGUUUAGAAAACAGAAUUUUAAGAUUAAUACCCUGGUGCUUGUUAAAAUUUUGAUGACAAUACCAAAUUUCAUUUGUUAUGGUGUGCAAGUCUUGUAAAGGGAAUCUGUUCUUUGUGAUACUGCAAAUGAACAUUAAAAAUGGUUGCAAACCUACAUAAGUGGUCUCCCAGCAUGGUUUCAUCAUGUCUUGGUUAAAAUUUUGGAUAAGCUUUGGCUACAACUAUUAUCUCUGUAAUCCAAGUUAGUGAUGGAUUCAGAAGUUUGGCUAUUUUUUUCUCAACUGUAAAUCAAACAUGCUGUACCUGGGGACCAUUUGUAGGACAGCAGUCAUUUUAACUAAGGGCAUUCCAAGUUGCAAGCCAUUAAAUCAUCCUUGUCACACCUGUCUGACAAAGUAGCUAUCAGCAAAAUAACUGUCAGGUAGCAUCAGGCACCACCUGCUCCUAUGGUUCCAGGCUUCGCAGUGGUUCUAGAACUGCCUGUUUAUAAUCCUAUUAAUUUAUUGUUGCAUUAAAGCAACAGCAACCAGAGUAAUCAUAAUUGCUAACAUUUGUGGAAGGCGCACUGACCCUGGUGCCACACACAGACUGUGUCUCCCUUGCCUUGGCUGUGAAUCCCCAUUUUCAUAAUGAGGCCCCAUGACGACCUCUGUUUUAGACACAAAAAGAUGGGGGGUUGGAGAUCACUUGGUUGCUGUCACACAGUUUGACAGCUGGAGCUUUGUAUUUGAGCCCAGGCAGUAUUAGUGAGUUGGGACAGAUUUUGAUUUUAUUGUAUUUGGGGGACACUUUUCAUGGAGACUUGAUGAGAGGCCUCAUUGAAAUGGAAAGAUGAGAGAAAGUUUUGAGUUGAGUGAAUCUAAACCUAUUUAAGGUUACCAUUUAAUAUGUUCUGGCGUCAAAGACCAACCUAGAUCUAUGAAACUGGGCUUCACAGUAUGGUGAAUUUAGCUGCUCUGCCCAUGUGGAUGAAAGCCACGUGAAGCUAGUAUUGUAAUUGUAGGGCUCUUUUCUAUGUGAUUAUCUGAUGCAUGACAAGGAAGAUUGAAAGACUUAAAGUUUAUAAAUGUGGUCAUGAUUUGUUUCUAGUGCAUAUCAGUUGGUCUUAUUUGAAAUACUUUCUCUAGGCAUAAAGGAGUUUAAGGCAGAACCAUAGACACUCUUUACUUUGAUGUUCUCAGCCACCUUUGUCUUAGAUGUGGAAAAAGAUAGGGAAAUCCGUGGUUGUUUUUGGUAUUCAGGAUUCUGAGAUUCUUCUACUGGGAGAGACGUCGUCCAUAGGGAAUAAGAGAAAGAAAUGCUUGAGGUUGACCCCUUGAGAAGGGAUCAACCUGACAGGUUCCAGUGCUGAGGGUCAUAAGUGGGUGGGGAGAUGUGAGACCUGCAGGUCUGGAAUUGCCCACCUUUGUCCUGUGCCAUUGGAUCCUGGGUGGGCACCACACAGCUGGGCCCCCUGCACCUGUAUUGGCUUGUCAUGGCUUACCUUUAGAAAUACUUUGGGGGAGGGCAAAGAGACAAUGCAGGUUUCUGGUAGAAUGCUGUGGUAGAGUAAGAAUGUAUCAAGUAGGUUAUUUUGUUUGUAGGGCAUUUAUAACUUUCAUCCAAAAAAUAAAAUGAAAGGAAUAAAUGUUGGUUGAAAAUGGGAUUUCAAGGCCGGGCGCAGUGGCUUAUGCCUGUAAUCCCAGCACUUUGGGAGGCCGAGGCAGGAGGCUCACUUGAGCUUAGGGGUUUGAGACCAGCCUGGGCAAUAUAGUGAAACCUCAUCUCCAUAAUUUAAAAAUACACACACACACACACACACACACAGACACACACACACACACACACACACACAUAUAUAAAAGAUUGAAUUGUACUUCCAUGAUAUCCAUCUACAAAUGCUUUCACAGCUGAGUUAUAAUUAAGAAAGGGAAGAAAAUUACAGCAUAAUCCCAAGAAGAAAUUGAGGGAGCCAAUUAAUCUCCAAAAAUUACUUUGGGUGAAAUCUUGAUGAAUGCUGUGGUGGUAUACAGCACCUGAUGUGAAAAUCAGGAAGGAGAAAGGACUUCUUCAAUAUUUUCUUUAUCUAUAGACACAGCUUGAAAUGUCUAUAAAUUUCUAUUAAUGUUAUGUACUUGGCUCUGCAGGAAAUGAUAUUUAAGAUUAGUUGAAAAAAAGGUUUUGCUGAUGGUAGAAUUUAAGGGCCUUUUGGUUUCUUGGUGACCAGGUGUUUUGCAAAUGAACAGAGAGCCAAGGGUGGCGCAGUAGUUUUCAGGUGACUCAGGAGGUAGCUUGUCUGAUUCUUAAGGUAAAAUCGAGAUUUGAAAGCAUUGGUGAAGUAAAGGAUAAUAAACUACUUCUUUAUAUCAUGAACUUUUUUUUGAAUCUUACAGUUUCAUUACUGGUAUGAUUCAUAAGUCACCUGCCACCCAUGGACAGUACUCAUAAGGAAAAUUGCCAUAUGAUGCACCAACUAGGUGUUUAUGAAAACAUAAAAGAUUAAAAGCACUGAAACUAAGUUGGUAUCAUUUAGGCCCGAGGCAUGUGGGUAUAUAUUCCAUUAGCCUACACCACUACUCAUGAAUGAAGUGCUCUUGAUCUGACCAAGAUGCUGAGGAUUGUUUUCUAGAAACAAAUCUUGACUGCACUUACUAGAGUUACAGCUUUUUCCGUAUCACGAUAAUCCAUUUUCAAAACCCAUUCCUUCACCUCAAGGCUGUCUCAGACACAUGCUAGUUUAAAAGGGGUCACUGGCGUGGAAUCAAUUCUUUCCAACUGUCCAUCCUUUAGUAAACAUUUAUUGAGCCCAGACUGUUUCAUAGAGAUGGUGGAUUUGUAAUGACUGUGGGUUGAGCCUGUUCUCCUAAGUUGCCCAAGUGUACAAACCUCUGUUACUGCUCAGGGCUUGUUGACACAGACAAAAAUGCUAAUACUUUAUGCGGUUUGCAGGAAUUGGCUUCGUUUGGAUUAAAAAUAAUGAAACUCUUCCAGAAACUUUUCAGAUGAUUAUACAGUAUGCUCUUCCAUGAAGUCCUUAAGAAUAAGUUAGUAUUAAGACAACAGUCAGCUUGAAGGUGGAUCUGUCCCUCCCUCCCUUACUGAGGUCUUUCUCAGUUUUACAAUUUUCUGCUCAUACAGUCCAUGAACAUCAGAAACAUACUAUACAUGUCUUUUAAUGGACAUAUUUUUCCCUGGUUUCUUUUUUAUAAAGGAGUUUUGUAGAGGGAAAAUAGCCAAUCAGAAGCACAUAGUAGAUAUAGAUCUCUACUCUUUUUUUUUUUUCUUUUUUUUGAGACGGAAUAUUGCUCUGUCACCCAGGCUGGAGUGCAAUGGUGCAAUUUCGGCUCACUGUAACCUCUGCCUCCUGGGUCCAAGUGAUUUCUCAUGCCUCAGCCUCCCUGAGUAACUGGGAUUACAGGCACGUACCAUCACACCAAGCUAAUUUUUGUAUUUUUAGUAGAGAUAGGGUUUUGCCAUGUUGGCCAGGCUGGUUUUAAACUCCUGA